UACGGAGGGGGGCUAGCGUUGUUCGGAAUUACUGGGCGUAAAGCGCACGUAGGCGGCUUUGUAAGUUAGAGGUGAAAAGCCCGGGGCUCAACUCCGGAAUUGCCUUUUAAGACUGCAUCGCUAGAAUUGUGGAGAGGUAAGUGGAAAUUUCCGAGUGUAGAGGGUGAAAAUUCGUAGAUAUUCGGAAGAACACCAGUGGCGAAGGCGACUUACUGGACACAUAUUGAACGCUGAGGUGCGAAAGCGUGGGGGAGCAAACAGG
rnacentral:rRNA from 1 species